GAUGAGUCUACCUUGCACAAAGG
rnacentral:siRNA from 1 species